rnacentral:rRNA from 1 species
GUCGACGGGUAGCCGGCCUGAGAGGGUGACCGGCCACACUGGGACUGAGACACGGCCCAGACUCCUACGGGAGGCAGCAGUGGGGAAUAUUGCACAAUGGGCGGAAGCCUGAUGCAGCAACGCCGCGUGAGGGAUGACGGCCUUCGGGUUGUAAACCUCUUUUAGCAAGGAAGAAGCGAAAGUGACGGUACUUGCAGAAAAAGCGCCGGCUAACUACGUGCCAGCAGCCGCGGUAAUACGUAGGGCGCAAGCGUUAUCCGGAAUUAUUGGGCGUAAAGAGCUCGUAGGCGGUCUGUCGCGUCUGCUGUGAAAACCCGAGGCUCAACCUCGGGCCUGCAGUGGGUACGGGCAGACUAGAGUGCGGUAGGGGAGAUUGGAAUUCCUGGUGUAGCGGUGGAAUGCGCAGAUAUCAGGAGGAACACCGAUGGCGAAGGCAGAUCUCUGGGCCGUAACUGACGCUGAGGAGCGAAAGGGUGGGGAGCAAACAGGCUUAGAUACCCUGGUAGUCCACCCCGUAAACGUUGGGAACUAGUUGUGGGGUCCUUUCCACGGAUUCCGUGACGCAGCUAACGCAUUAAGUUCCCCGCCUGGGGAGUACGG